rnacentral:lncRNA from 1 species
UAUGCACCCACCUGUAUCCAAUCCAUACACUCACUCCCCUCUGUAUACACCCACCUGUAUCCAAUCCAUACUCCUCACCAUAUACACCCACCUAUAUCCAAUCCAUACACUCACUGCCCCCAUAUGCACUCACCGAUAUCUAUUUUGUGCACUCAGGGCACAGGGUUCCUGCUUUAUAGCGAGUGUUUGCAUGCUGAAGCCUGACCUCAUUUACUCAUUCAACAAGCAUGCACUGAACACUCGGCAAUGACUUCCUGAGUACCUACCAUGUGCCCAGCUCAGGGUCCUGGGCUUUUAAGUGUUUCUCAUGCCUGGUGUCUUUCCUACCACAACCAGGUCCUACUCCUCCAGGAAGAUGAUGGAGAAUGCUGAAACUGUGCUCCAAGGCCACGAGAAGGAAAAGGCCUGGAUUUUCUCUUCACUCUCUUUCAGUCCUGCUGCCUCCCAGUUUCUCCAGGGGAGUUUUUGUCUCCCUAGGGCUUAAGGAGGAUCCUGGGCUCACGUGCUCAGGAUGUUUGAAAGAACCAAAAACAGGAAGGAGAAGAAACAGGCCCUGUUUGUUAGGAAGCAGAAAAACAAAGAUGCAGAGUGGUAUGGGAAGGAGAACACCUGCCUGAGAGACUGGGGUCUGAAUUCCAUCUCUGCCUUUCACUCCCCAUGUGACCUUGGGCUGGUCCAUGUACCACUGUAGACCUCAGUCUUCUCAUCUGCCCAAUGGAUAAGCAACUGGAUAUUUGAAGACCCUGUGGACAUGGAUUCCUAAUAAAGGUCCUUCGAAUUUUCACUACUUCUGGGUGUAGAUAAAAUUAAUUCACAUAUAAUGGAAAGACAAAAUGUGGUAUAUCCAUACAACAGAAUACUAUACAGGAAUAAAAAUGAAUGAAUCACAGAUACAAGCAACCACAUGGAUGAACCUCAGAAACAAGACUCUUCAGUGAAAGAGGCCAGACAUAAGAGACCAACCACUCCAUUCAGAUGGGAUGUCCAGAAAAAUGGAAUCUAUAGAGACAGAAAGAAAAUUGGGGUUACCUGGGAUGGGGGUGAGGGAUUGCAGUAAAUAUGCAUGAGGGAUAUUAUUGGGGUGAUGGAAAUGUUCCCAAAUUGAUUUACUGUGAUGGUAUGCAACUUUGUAGAUGUACUAAAAUGUCAUUGAAUUGUGCACUUGAAACAAGUGAAUGAUGUGUAAAAUGUGCAAUACAGUUAUUUAUAAAAUAAAAAAUUAACAUAUAUGCAUCACACUACUUAUAAUGCAUUUAAAAAUAACUUAUAGACAAUGUAACACAAAUAAAUAGUUUCUUUCCCAAGGAGG